rnacentral:tRNA from 1 species
AGGGUUUGAAAGCCUAAAUCACCACGUUGACAUCGUGGGGGUCACUGGUUCGAGUCCAGUUGUGUCCA